UAGGNNAANNNUUCGGCAAUGGACGGAAGUCUGACCGAGCAACGCCGCGUGAGUGAAGAAGGUUUUCGGAUCGUAAAGCUCUGUUGUAAGAGAAGAACGAGUGUGAGAGUGGAAAGUUCACACUGUGACGGUAUCUUACCAGAAAGGGACGGCUAACUACGUGCCAGCAGCCGCGGUAAUACGUAGGUCCCGAGCGUUGUCCGGAUUUAUUGGGCGUAAAGCGAGCGCAGGCGGUUAGAUAAGUCUGAAGUUAAAGGCUGUGGCUUAACCAUAGUACGCUUUGGAAACUGUUUAACUUGAGUGCAAGAGGGGAGAGUGGAAUUCCAUGUGUAGCGGUGAAAUGCGUAGAUAUAUGGAGGAACACCGGUGGCGAAAGCGGCUCUCUGGCUUGUAACUGACGCUGAGGCUCGAAAGCGUGGGGAGCAAACAGGAUUAGAUACCCUGGUAGUCCACGCCGUAAACGAUGAGUGCUAGGUGUUAGACCCUUUCCGGGGUUUAGUGCCGCAGCUAACGCAUUAAGCACUCCGCCUGGGGAGUACGACCGCAAGGUUG
rnacentral:rRNA from 1 species